CCUGAUCCAGCCAUGCCGCGUGAGUGAAGAAGGCCUUCGGGGUUGUAAAGCUCUUUCGGCCGGGAAGAAAUCGUGGUCUCUAACGAUAGGCCAUGGAUGACGGUACCGGACUAAGAAGCACCGGCUAACUACGUGCCAGCAGCCGCGGUAAUACGUAGGGUGCGAGCGUUAAUCGGAAUUACUGGGCGUAAAGCGUGCGCAGGCGGUUUUGUAAGACAGAUGUGAAAUCCCCGGGGCUUAACCUGGGAACUGCGUUUGUGACUGCAAGGCUAGAGUACGGCAGAGGGGGGUGGAAUUCCUGGUGUAGCAGUGAAAUGCGUAGAGAUCAGGAGGAACACCGAUGGCGAAGGCAGCCCCCUGGGCCUGUACUGACGCUCAUGCACGAAAGCGUGGGGAGCAAACAGGAUUAGAUACCCUGGUAGUCCACGCCCUAAACGAUGUCGACUAGUCGUUCGGAGCAGCAAUGCACUGAGUGACGCAGCUAACGCGUGAAGUCGACCGCCUGGGGAGUACGGCCG
rnacentral:rRNA from 1 species